rnacentral:tRNA from 1 species
GGAGAGGUGGCUCAGUGGUUAAAAGCACUGACUGCUCUUCAGAAGAUCCUGAGUUCAAUUCCCAGCAACCACA